UCUUCAAUCGUAUAGUGGCUAGUAUGCGUCCCUGUCACUCACAGCAGUGGUUAGGCGCACGGACGAGACCGGAGUUCGAUUCUCCGUUGGAGAG
rnacentral:tRNA from 1 species